GGCCAGAUAAGAGAAUAAAAGCAGGCUGCCCGAGCCAGCAUUGACAACUCGCGGGGAUUGUUUUCCACACCGUGGAAGCUUUGUUCUUUUCGUUUUUUGCAAUAAAUCUUGUUGCUGCUCGCUUUUUGGGUCCACAUUGCUUUUAUGAGCUGUACCACUCACCGUGAAGAUCUGCAGCUUCACUUCAGAGCCUAGCGAGACCACAAGCUCACUGAGAGGAACAAACAACUCCAGACGCGCUGUCUUAAGAGCUAUAACACUCACCGCGAAGGUGUGCAGUUUCACUCCUGAGCUAGUGAGACUACGAAGCCACUGGAACGAAGAAACUCCAACCACGUUUGAACAUCAGAAGGGGCAGACUCCAGACGCUUCAUCUUAAGAGCUGUAACACUCACUGUGAAGGUCUGCAGCUUCACUCCUGAGCCAGCGAGACCACGAACCGAUCUGAACAUCAGAAGGGACAGACUCCAGAUGCCCCACCUUAAGAGCUGUAAUACUCACUGCAAGGGUCUGCAGCUUCAUUCUUGAAGUCAGACCAAGAACCCAGCAAUUCCCAACACACAGGGACCAGCUUCUUUCCUAACUCACUUAGGCUCUUCGUGCUGCUCUGGCAACUAACACCCUUGGCUGCAGGGGCUUGGACACUACCCUUAGUCACUGACAAUUGUGUGAAGGCUGCUGUCGUUAACUUCACUUGAUCACCUUAGGCUCCUGUGAAGUGGUGAGCAAUUCAAACAAAUUCCUGUCGUCAAAUCAUGAGUCCACCUGUCCCGAGUUGGAAGUCUGAACUCAUGUUCCUGGAUUCCUCCCAUGCAUCUUGGUGCUGGUGUGGGGCCUGAACUCAGCCAAUCCGCAACACCUCCAGGAGUCUUCCUCUUAGAUGCUGAGGCCACGGAGAAGGAAGCAGCACAAAGAAUGAACCCUGGAGAGGGUGCCAGAGGCAGGCGGGUUCCAGCCAUGUGGCGGCACAGCCUUACUGGGAUAGUCUAGCUGUGUCACUCAGAUAAGAUCAAUCAGAUUCGUGUUUUGCAACUACUUCUUGGCAAGACGUACGGGACUGACCGCAGUUGACACAUGCCAAUAGGGGGAGAAAUCUGAAGACGUGUUUCUGUGCAGUGGUGGCACCCAGGGGCUCUGGCCAGAGGAGGUCACAGGAAGAUGCCUAGCGGCCCGUGGAGCGACCUGCCCCGCAUUGUCACUUGACCGCUGGUGUGCGAAGGGGAUAACACUGUGUUCAAUGUGUUUGUAACCUUGCAUGAAAAAAUUGAAGAAAUGUCACUUUCUUCUCACCCUCUCCCAGGCCAAUCAUCUGUCAUGAAUUCAAUAUGAGGCAAACGUCUGGUGAUCACAGGGACAAACUAGGGAUAGGCCUUUGGGAGAGGAAUCUACUCAGUUUGUGUUCAACCGGACUAUCCAGGUAGGGGAGCUGGCUGGAGAGGGAGCCAGCAUUUGUUGACUGUAAUCUCUGAGCUAGGGUCGCAAUUACAUCUUCUGCAUCUUUGUGUGCAUAGUACCAAGCACAGAAUUAUCCAGAGUAGACACUCAAUAAUUGUUUGUUGGAAGAGUCAUUGUUGCUUUUGCUUCCAAGCCCCUCACAAAUUUCCACACAGUGCAGUUGAGCUCGCACAGUCAAUGAACAGUUUAUAUCUGAUUAAUAGGGGCUGAUAGUCUGAGGUGGCCUGCCUUCUUGCAGAGAAAGUUUGGGGUGGGUUACUGAGACAGGCUGGAUUCAUGGGGUGAGUUGGCUCAUGACCCAACAUAGCCAGGAAGCAAAGCGGAUAUUCCUCUGAAUUUUGCAGGCCAGGUGUGGCAUGUGUCUGAAAUUUCAGCUGCUUUAUCUUUAUACCCAUCAUUUUGGUAAGACUAUGUGUCCAAUCUGAAAUUCACCAACAGGACAGGGCCAGCUGCCAGAACUGAAGUCCCAAGAAGAAAACCAAGCAAAGCUGAGACACAAACCUGAACUUUUGAACUUGUCAAUCUACUGAGUCAACUAACUCUGGGACUCCCAUGUCUGGACUUCUUCAUGUGUGUUAACCUAUCUUCCUUGUUGCUUUUGCCACAAGGUGUUCUGGUUCUUGUAACCAAACGCAUCCCAUCUGACUCACUGGGCACCUGACUCCAGUUGUGUAAAACAGGCCCAGAUAGCUUGCCUUUGCCUCCGUUGGCGUGUGGUGGACAAUUGUAAAUUUCCUUGUAAGGUAUAUUAGUCCGUUCUCACGCUGUUAUAAAGAACUGCUCAAGACUGGGUCAUUUAUAAAGGAAAGAGGUUUAAUUGACUCACAGUUCUGCACGGCUGGGGAGGCCUCAGGAAACUUACAAACAUGGCAGAAGGGAAAGGAGAAGCAGGCGCCUUCUUCAUAGGGUGGCAGGACAGAGUGAGAGCAAGCAGGGGAAAAUGCCAGAUGCUUAUAAAACCAUCAGAUCUCAUGAGAACUCACUAUCAUGAGGACAGCAUGGUGGUAAUCACUCCCAUGAUUCAAUUACCUCCCACAG
rnacentral:lncRNA from 10 species